AUGAACGCUGGCGGCGUGCCUAAUACAUGCAAGUCGCGCGAACGGACGAGAAGCUUGCUUCUCUGAUGUUAGCGGCGGACGGGUGAGUAACACGUGGAUAACCUACCUAUAAGACUGGGAUAACUUCGGGAAACCGGAGCUAAUACCGGAUAAUAUUUUGAACCGCAUGGUUCAAAAGUGAAAGACGGUCUUGCUGUCACUUAUAGAUGGAUCCGCGCUGCAUUAGCUAGUUGGUAAGGUAACGGCUUACCAAGGCAACGAUGCAUAGCCGACCUGAGAGGGUGAUCGGCCACACUGGAACUGAGACACGGUCCAGACUCCUACGGGAGGCAGCAGUAGGGAAUCUUCCGCAAUGGGCGAAAGCCUGACGGAGCAACGCCGCGUGAGUGGUGAAGGUCUUCGGAUCGUAAAACUCUGUUAUUAGGGAAGAACAUAUGUGUAAGUAACUGUGCACAUCUUGACGGUACCUAAUCAGAAAGCCACGGCUAACUACGUG
rnacentral:rRNA from 1 species